GCAGUAGACCCCCCCCCCCCCCCGCCUGCGACGGCGAUGUCGGUGUCGGCGGUGGUCCCGGCGGCGGUGGCGCGGCCUUCGCGGACGCUUGUCUGCGUGCCGGCGACAGCGCGGGCGCCCCGGGAGAUGGCGGCGGAGCUGGGCGCCGCCGCCGCUCUCGGCGCCGACGUGGCGGAGCUCCGGCUCGACUGCCUCGCCGGCUUCGCGCCGCGCAGGGACCUGCCCGUCCUCCUCGCUGAGCCCCGCCCGCUCCCGGCUCUCGUCACCUACAGACCGAAGUGGGAAGGAGGCGAGUACGAAGGCGAAGAUGAGCCACGGUUUGAGGCGCUCCUGUUGGCAAUGGAGCUGGGAGCCGAGUACGUUGAUAUCGAGCUCAAGGUUGUUGAUAAAUUUAUGAAACUUGUCUCUGGGAAGAAACCUGAAAAUUGUAAGCUCAUCGUUUCGUCCCAUAAUUUCGAGAACACUCCAUCAGCAGAGGAGCUUGGAAAUUUGGUGGCUCAGAUACAAGCAACAGGGGCUGACAUAGUGAAAAUUGCAACAACUGCUACUGAAAUUGUUGAUGUGGCAAGAAUGUUUCAAAUACUUGUUCAUUGUCAGGAAAAGCAGGUGCCAAUCAUUGGGCUGGUGAUGAAUGACAGAGGUUUUAUUUCUCGGAUUCUUUGCCCAAAAUAUGGUGGAUACCUUACUUUUGGGUCUCUGGAGAAAGGAAAAAAAUCUGCUCCUGCACAGCCAACAGCUGCAGACUUAAUAAAUCUGUACAAUAUUAGGCAGAUAGGCCCAGAUACUAAGGUCUUCGGUAUUAUUGGAAAGCCAGUUGGACACAGUAAAAGCCCAAUUUUGCAUAAUGAAGCUUUCAGAUCAGUGGGUUUCAACGCUGUGUAUGUGCCGUUUUUGGUGGAUGACUUGGUUCAAUUUCUUAGUACCUACUCUUCACUAGACUUUGCUGGCUUCAGUUGCACAAUUCCCCAUAAGGAAGCAGCAGUUAGGUGCUGUGAUGAAGUCGAUCCUAUUGCCAGGGACAUUGGAGCUGUUAAUACAAUCGUUAGAAGACCUGAUGGAAAACUUGUAGGCUACAAUACUGACUAUGUUGGUGCUAUUUCUGCUAUUGAGGAUGGAAUAAGAGCAUCACAACCAACAGAUCCAACCACAUCCCCACUGGCUGGAAGGCUUUUCGUUGUUAUUGGGGCUGGUGGUGCAGGGAAAGCACUAGCAUAUGGUGCAAAAGAGAAGGGAGCAAGAGUUGUAAUUGCAAACCGUACUUUUGCACGUGCCCAAGAACUUGCCAACUUAAUUGCGGGGCCUGCUUUGACUCUGGCGGAGUUGGAAAACUACCAUCCGGAGGAAGGGAUGAUUCUUGCAAAUACAACAGCCAUUGGAAUGCAUCCAAAUGUUAAUGAAACUCCUUUAUCUAAGCAAGCACUUAAAUCCUAUGCUGUUGUCUUUGAUGCGGUCUACACACCAAAAGAGACUAGACUUCUCCGAGAAGCUGCAGAAUGUGGAGCUACAGUUGUUAGUGGUCUGGAGAUGUUUAUAAGACAAGCAAUGGGUCAAUUUGAGCAUUUCACGGGCAUGCCAGCUCCAGAUAGGUUGAUGCGUGAUAUUGUUCUUACAAGGACGUAGUAAGGUUCGUCCAAAGACAACCUUCGCUUCCAUCAUAAUUUCUGCAAAAUUGAUUCCAGUUUGGAUGAUGACAAAUUCCGAGGAAUCGCAAAUUCGUUGGACAACCCUGACAGCAUGAAACCUCGUCUGUGAGCGAUUCAUCCAGGCCUGCGGCUUUCCCUUUUUUCUGGUUCAGAUUUGGAUUCAGCGGUCAGUUUGCCAUUCAGCUGUUAUAAAUGAGAUGGUGUUGACUGAAACAUUUUAGUGUGUUAAUUGUAUCAGCCCAAAAUUUUCUUCUCCCAAAUGUGUACAUCAAAGAACAGUAAGGAAAGGUUGCAUGGGAUUUUGUAGUAGAAAAUAUCCAGUUUCUGGGAAUCAAGCGUGGUAUGCUCCACUGUCCCAUCAGAAUCUCAGACGAGAUGUUCUAUUCUCAUUUAUCCGAGUGAAAUGUUGUGGCGCCAGAAGUAAAUGCAGGAACCUCAGCAUCAGUUCAAUGAAAUUUGUAGUUUUCUUCAGAUAGAACAACUUUUUUUCCACAAGAAUUGCAAUUGGAACAGUUGUAACGUUGUACAAUUUGGAACAGUUCAAGAAUUUAUCAUAGGAAUUUGUAAUGCAGGUAUCAGUUUACAUACACUUUGCAGCGAUGGUCAAA